rnacentral:lncRNA from 1 species
CAAAAAGGCCUGUUAAUACUAAGGAACAGAAAAAAUGAUUCCAAACAUUAUUUGCUCUUUUUGCCAGAAGUUGGUGGACCAAAAAACAAACAAACAAACAAACAAAAAAAACAAACCAAAACAAAACAAAAGCAAAACAAAACCCCAACAAAACAAAAAAGAACCCCACAUGUGCUCCUGGGCCAGCCUCACCUUGCAAUGUCUCUAGUCUGGCCAGAACCCAAAAGUACAGGUUAAGGGAAAAGCCAGAAAUAUUCUGAGGAUGUCCCAUUAAAGGGACAGAGAACGCCCUCUACACAGACCUUUCUGUAAAAUAUAUAGAUGUAAUCUAAGGAUUACUUGAGACACAGGAUGGGAGCAGGAACAAGUAAAGGAUAUAGGAAGAUGUAGGCAACAGAGUGUAAUUAAUUGAUUUUACUGUUAACUAAGCAGCUCUAUCCUUUGAGUAUUUGCUAUUUCAUUACUGAACGCUUUUCUAUGGUCCUGAGACAACAGAUGAGAAUGACAAAUCACUCAGUGAAUUUCAGAACUUUGUCUGCCAAUUCAUUAUCAAUUUCUGUGUUGUAGAAAGCAAUCCUUCAAAUUUUACACCAGUACAUUAGGGCAGAAGAUAAUUGGAUGGACUUUUAUCAGUACAUUUUCCUGACUUGCUACUAAAGAGAAGCUGUGAACAGCAGAGGUUGAAGAGGAAAACAGGACAAGAAUUGAACACUACAGACCAAAGUGCUUAUGAAAUUUAAAGAUAAAGGAAAAAGUCCAGGGGAAAAAGAGAAAAGAAAGGAAGAGCCGCAGAAAGAUUCUCUAGAAUACAGCCACCUUGGAAGACAGAGCUCCUCCUCAGUGAGAGGGAGUCAGCUUUGGAACUGGAGUUUUCUCGAGAAAGAAAAGCCAUACAGAAAAGUAAUACUGACUGGGACUGAACCAUCUUUUCCACAUAGUAUUGGCAAAACCAUAAUAAGCCUGGCUAUUCCUUGGCUUAUUCCAACAACUGUAGUGGAUCUAAUGGAGAUAUUUUAGAGAACUUCAAUGAUGGGAGCUGGAGAAAGCAGUGUGUUUAUAGAUAAACACUGCUAUAUGAGGAAAAAAAUCUUAUUGUGAAUAUUACACAGAUUAGAUAAUAGUAAUAUGUUUUAAAAAUAAGUCACUUGAUUUAGAUAAAUGAUCUAAAUAUUAUUCACCUAAUCAGAAACAUUUUUAGCAACAAUUCUACAAAAUUUUUGUGUGUGUAAUUCAACACAUAAAACCACAUCAUCCAUAUGUAACUGACAGUGAGUCAUCUCUUGAAGCAUAAGAAAUGGGGACCUAAGUAAAAGCAUAAUACAGCACACAAUAUGUAGUAACUGAAGGGCAGAGACAAUGUUGCAUUAGUUUUAGGACUACUGCUUUAUGCCUCUGUCACCUUUAGAGGGACGGUUCCCUGGACAAGAUAGGAAAAAAAAGUUUUAGAAAUGUUUUGUCUUAGAGACCUGAACUUAUAAGGGCGAGUUUCUAUGGAGGGGGGGGGAGAGGGGAAGACUUUUGCAAGAUCUGUAAUACUGGGGCCAGUCAGAUGUUCACAAUAUAUUGCUCACCAAGAAACUGAGCCCGAGAAUUAUUAAGGUUUUUUUGGUGAAUAACUUUGAAUAAUUAAUUCUUCUGAGAAAACCACAAUCUGUUCACAGAGAGUUCAUGAAGAAAAAAAAAAAAAAAAAAAAAGAAAAGAAACCAAGGUGAAUAAUUCAUUAUGAAUUAUUUGACCUGUUUUAGCAAUGAGAUUCUAAAUCUGUCCUCUUAUGGAUAUUAACCUCAUUAAUACUAUUUAGAUACAAGACUUCGGGAUAAUUAAGAUGAUGCAAUACUGUCUAUCUAAUAUGACACUAUUAAUAUUUUUGUAAAUACUUUGAAAAUAAUGCUUUAUUUAUUGUAUUUUUUUAAAUCCUUGUGUAUAAAUUUAGAAGAACUGGCCAUCUUAGAAUAAUUAAUGCAAUAAUAGGACAUUCUUAUAUGAGAAGGAAGCCUUGAUGACAGAGAGAUCUAAAUGUUUAAAAUCUGCUUAGGUCUACUGCUAUAACACAUAGCUGAGUGACCAAUUCGCCUAUCAUUUGUGAAUUCUAGGGAAUUUGAGAGAAUGUCUAAUCCUGAACUGAGAAACAGAAUUUCCAGGGAUGGGAGAGAAAUCAGGUUUGACUCUUAAUAUUUAAAAGUACAAACUGUAAUAAACAUACAACAAUUUCCGUACAAUAACUGAAUAAUGUUAGCAGACUGAUUUCAGACUGUUCCAUUAUGUCAUCCAGGAAUAACACAAGAACUAGUCAUUUAACUGCUUAAUGCACUGUUUCUGUUUAAAUAUGAACACAGUAUUUUAAGUAAAAGCUAAUAUUUUCUAAUAAUUCCUACCAAUACCUGACCAACUAUCCAAUAUCAUUAGGUAAAGCUGCAGUUUCAUGACACUUUGAACUGCUCCAAAUCAGAGCUGCUAGGGUGUUUUCUGCCAAGUGCUUCAGCCUACACCCUUGCAUCAGCAGUAGUGUUUGGAUGAUGCCAUUCUCUCCCACCUUCCCACAGAGGUGAGCUGUUUCACGGCAGAAUAGCUGCAGCCUGACAAUACAGUUAGGCUCGUCCAAAAAAACAAAAAAGAAAAAAAAAAACAUAAACAAGAGAGAAAAGGAAGCCCAUACCUAAAGAGA